rnacentral:misc_RNA from 1 species
GACACAUAUUUGCAUUUGUUUAUGUGUAUUUCAAAGUUUUGAUUAAUAUGUCAUACUUGGUCAUAAUUGAAUACUUUUUGCAGUGUUUGUUUAUGAGUAUUUUGAAGUUUUGUUCUAUUGGAUGUUUUGGAUAUGAUAUUGCCCCUCCAGCUUCGGAUCAGAUUCCUUUUCAAAUCGAUUUUGUGCUUGUGGUUGUUACUAGAAAUUAAGACGAUUGAGAUCUUCACAUAUCUAAUGCUACUAGUGUUUAUAAAGUGUUGUUACUUGGUUGAUAAUUUGUUGAUUGUGGCUUAAAAAGGUCUUAUCUAUGGGAGAAGGAUAUUGAAUUCUGUCGUAAUUUUGAGAAGAUGGGAGAAAGAGGUAAAACAUCUGACAUAACUUAAUUUGUUUAGUUUCUCAUACGAUUUAUACAAUUUCAGUUGAACUAUUUUGUGUCCAUUUAGCAUAGAACACAUGUUUAAAAACGAAUUAAUGUAGAUUAGACACCUAUUUAUAUGGAUAGUUCCUUGUUCGUUUGAUUUUAAGAUAUAUUUUUAUAUAUUUAAACGAAUUUACGUAUGGUUUGAGUUUAUAAAUAGGAAUUAAGGUUUAUUGUUUUACAUUUAAAUAAAAUACGUAUUGGUUUGGGUUCAUAAGGUAGUUAGGGUUUGAUGUUAUACAUUUAAACAGAAUUACCUAUCAGUUUGAGUUUAUAAGAUAAGGAUAAGGGUUAGUAUUAUUCAUUUAAACCAAAUUAUAAAUCAGUUUGAGUUUAGAAGGUAGGAUUAAGUAUUUUGAAAUGAAUUCUUGGAAAUGGUGUUAGCGUCAUAAUAAUUAGCAUAGCAUUUUUUUUUUUAAUAUCUGAAAGUUCAAGCAAGAAGGUCUUACAUCUUCUAGAGGCGGGAUCCACAACAAAUUAUUAAAUUCAUCAUAUUUGGAAAACGGAUUCUUCUCAACGGGCGUCGAACCCAGUUGGGAAAUUUACCACUUUAUUCAUAUAUAAGCAUCCAUCAACCUAAUCCAUUUCUUAUUUAACAAUUGUUUGCCAGUCAUGCGUUAAGUUUGUUGCUAUAGUUAAAUCUAAAACCUUACACUCUAAAUUUUUAAAUAACAUUGUCUAUAUUCAUCUAUGUCGUCGAUAUGUUUAGAUGGUUGAUAGUGAAAAAUCAUAGUCUUUUAAGUAUUUAUGGACGUGGUCUACUGGAUAAGUUGAUUUAGACAUUGCGAAGCAAAGCAUCAGAGCCACCACCUCACAAUCACUAUGACGCAGCCACCGUAUAGAAGGCAACAGCGAUGGAGCCACCACAUCGAUCGAAACCGCCGACGGGUUUCAGAAUCUGGUCCAACACAUUUCUCGUGGCGUAUAUUUUCGUUGGAUGUCGAGGCUGAGAAGGUGAUCUCGAAUCUCUUUUCGACGCCGUCAAAUGUCAAAGCCAUUGUGUUGAGGAAAACAAAGAGAGUGAGAAACAAAUAGGGAGAGAAAAUGAUUACAUAUUGUUAUAGUAUUAAUUUAUUAUAUAGAAUUAAAUGAGUACCCAAAUAGGUUACUUGUUUUCUUAAAAAAGUUG